rnacentral:rRNA from 1 species
UAGCCGUAAACGAUACUCGCUAGGUGUCGGCCACGGUGCGACCGUUGUCGGUGCCGUAGGGAAGCCGUGAAGCGAGCCACCUGGGAAGUACGGCCGCAAGGCUGAAACUUAAAGGAAUUGGCGGGGGAGCACAACAACGGGUGGGGCUUGCGGUUUAAUUGGAUUCAACGCCGGAAAUCUUACCGGGACCGACAGCAACAUGAAGGCCAAAGCUGAAGACUUUGCCGGAUUAGCUGAGAGGUGGUGCAUGGCGUAGUCGUGU